UGGCGAACGGGUGAGUAACGCGUGAGGAACCUGCCUCAAAGAGGGGGACAACAGUUGGAAACGACUGCUAAUACCGCAUAAGCCCACGACCCGGCAUCGGGUAGAGGGAAAAGGAGCAAUCCGCUUUGAGAUGGCCUCGCGUCCGAUUAGCUAGUUGGUGAGGUAACGGCCCACCAAGGCAACGAUCGGUAGCCGGACUGAGAGGUUGAACGGCCACAUUGGGACUGAGACACGGCCCAG
rnacentral:rRNA from 1 species